rnacentral:rRNA from 1 species
GACGAACGCUGGCGGCGUGCUUAACACAUGCAAGUCGAACGGUGAAGGGGCCUGCUUUUGUGGGCCCUGGAUGAGUGGCGAACGGGUGAGUAACACGUGAGUAACCUGCCCCCUUCUUCUGGAUAACCGCAUGAAAGUGUGGCUAAUACGGGAUAUUCUGGGUCUGUCGCAUGAUGGGUCUGGGAAAGAUUGCGCCUUUGGGUGUUUUUGGUGGGGGAUGGGCUCGCGGCCUAUCAGCUUGUUGGUGGGGUGAUGGCCUACCAAGGCGGUGACGGGUAGCCGGCCUGAGAGGGUGGACGGUCACACUGGGACUGAGACACGGCCCAGACUCGUACGGGAGGCAGCAGUGGGGAAGAUUGCACAAUGGGCGCAAGCCUGAUGCAGCGACGCCGCGUGAGGGAUGGAGGCCUUCGGGUUGUAAACCUCUUUCGCCAGUGAAGCAGGCCUGCUCCUUGUGGGUGGGUUGACGGUAGCUGGAUAAGAAGCGCCGGCUAACUACGUG